AUUAUACCGUGAAACUGCGAAUGGCUCAUUAAAUCAGUUAUCGUUUAUUUGAUAAUACCUUACUACUUGGAUAACCGUGGUAAUUCUAGAGCUAAUACAUGCUAAAAACCCCGACUUCGGGAGGGGUGUAUUUAUUAGAUAAAAAACCAAUGCCCUCCGGGGCUCCUUGGUGAUUCAUAAUAACUUCUCAGAUCGCAUGGCUCCAUGCCGGCGACGGUUCAUUCAAAUUUCUGCCCUAUCAACUUUCGAUGGUAAGGUAGUGGCUUACCAUGGUUUCAACGGGUAACGGGGAAUUAGGGUUCGAUUCCGGAGAGGGAGCCUGAGAAACGGCUACCACAUCCAAGGAAGGCAGCAGGCGCGCAAAUUACCCAAUUCCAACACUGGAGAGGUAGCGACAAGAAAUACUGAUACAGGGCUCUUUUGGGUCUUGUAAUUGGAAUGAGUACAAUUUAAACCUCUUAACGAGGAACAAUUGGAGGGCAAGUCUGGUGCCAGCAGCCGCGGUAAUUCCAGCUCCAAUAGCGUAUAUUAAAGUUGUUGCAGUUAAAAAGCUCGUAGUUGAACCUUUGGCCUGGCUGGCAGGUCCGCCUCACCGCGUGCACUUGUCCGGCCGGGCCUUUUCUUCUGGAGAACCGCAUGCCCUUCACUGGGUGUGUUGGGGACCAGGACUUUUACUUUGAAAAAAUUAGAGUGUUCAAAGCAGGCCUUUGCUCGAAUACGUUAGCAUGGAAUAAUAGAAUAGGACGUGCGGUCCUAUUUUGUUGGUUUCUAGGACCGCCGUAAUGAUUAAUAGGGACAGUCGGGGGCAUCAGUAUUCAAUUGUCAGAGGUGAAAUUCUUGGAUUUAUUGAAGACUAACUACUGCGAAAGCAUUUGCCAAGGAUGUUUUCAUUAAUCAGUGAACGAAAGUUAGGGGAUCGAAGACGAUCAGAUACCGUCGUAGUCUUAACCAUAAACUAUGCCGACUAGGGAUCGGGCGGUGUUUCUAUUGUGACCCGCUCGGCACCUUACGAGAAAUCAAAGUGU
rnacentral:rRNA from 1 species